UACGAAGGGUGCUAGCGUUGUUCGGAAUCACUGGGCGUAAAGCGCACGUAGGCGGUUGUGUCAGUCAGUGGUGAAAUCCCGGAGCUCAACUUCGGAACUGCCUUUGAUACAGCACGUCUUGAGUCCGAUAGAGGUGGGUGGAAUUCCUAGUGUAGAGGUGAAAUUCGUAGAUAUUAGGAAGAACACCGGUGGCGAAGGCGGCCCACUGGAUCGGUACUGACGCUGAGGUGCGAAAGCGUGGGGAGCAAACAGG
rnacentral:rRNA from 1 species